CCUACGGGAGGCAGCAGUAGGGAAUCUUCCACAAUGGGCGCAAGCCUGAUGGAGCAAUGCCGCGUGAGUGAAGAGGGUCUUCGGAUCGUAAAGCUCUGUUGUUGGUGAAGAAGGAUAGAGGCAGUAACUGGUCUUUAUUUGACGGUAAUCAACCAGAAAGUCACGGCUAACUACGUGCCAGCAGCCGCGGUA
rnacentral:rRNA from 1 species